GAGUCCAAAUAAAAAACUGUAAAGGCACUAGAUCCUCUCCUGAUCUUGAAAGCUAAGCAGAGUCAGAUCUGGCUAGUCCUUUGAUGAUAGAUUGCCAUUGAAUACCAGGUGCUGGAGGCU
rnacentral:rRNA from 11 species